rnacentral:rRNA from 1 species
AGUGAACGCUGGCGGUAGGCCUAACACAUGCAAGUCGAACGGAAGCACAGUAAGAGCUUGCUCUUACGGGUGGCGAGUGGCGGACGGGUGAGGAAUACAUCGGAAUCUACUUUUUCGUGGGGGAUAACGUAGGGAAACUUACGCUAAUACCGCAUACGACCUACGGGUGAAAGCAGGGGUUCUUGGGACUUUGCCCGAUUGAUUUAGCCGAUGUCGGAUUAGCUAGUUGGCGGGGUAAAGGCCCACCAAGGCAACGAUCCGUAGCUGGUCUGAGAGGAUGAUCAGCCACACUGGAACUGAGACACGGUCCAGACUCCUACGGGAGGCAGCAGUGGGGAAUAUUGGACAAUGGGCGCAAGCCUGAUCCAGCCAUACCGCGUGAGUGAAGAGGGCCUUCGGGUUGUAAAGCCCUUUUGUUGGGAAAGAAAAGCAGCAGGUUAAUACCCCGCUGUUCUGACGGUACCCAAAGAAUAAGCACCGGCUAACUUCGUG